UCAGCGCUGUUCUGGGGGUGCCCCAUUUUUCUGCAAAACGCCCCAUUUUGGCUGCUGCCGUUCCCACAGGGCUUGUCCUGCCUCACGACUCAGCCCGUUUUGACUUUGGGUGACACGUGGCGCUGAGAUGUUGUGGCAUGCAGCUUGGUGCCAGCAUGCUGGGGCAAACCAAUUUUUAUUUUGGUGUCUCGUAAAUAAAAUUGAGUCAGGAGGGCCUGCCCUGAGUUUCCUCUCUUCCUCUGAAUCCUGCAGUUUAUUAUUAGCUAGCUAAAACCCAAAAGUAGCCCUGGUAAUUUGGGGAGAAUAAGCAUUAGAGCAAAUCCAGGUGUUUCCCUCCAGCUGGGUGCCUAAAUCAAUGCCGCGGUAUUGAGGUCGGGCCUUGCUGCAGGUGGCAACUUUCAAAUGCCCAAAAUCGAAGUUGCGAGCAGCUGUUGAGUCCUGUGGCCAUAGUUUGUUUAUUUUAUACAGGACAAGAAGAGGGAGUUAGCUGUCCUGAUUUAAAUUGCAGUUUUGAGUUCUCACAUUUGACUAACUAAUCCCUUUUGCGGUAUCGAUUAGAGUUCUUCAUUUCCUGUCCUACAGUUGUUUAUUUUACGGCGCUUUGUUCUGCAUUGGUUCAGCGUCUUUUCUGGUGGGAAUCCCCUCGCAAAGUUCCCCUUCUGCCUCUGUCUCACAGAAUUAUGCGCUUCACCACCAAAAGACCACACAGCUUUCACAAAAUCCUUUCUUCUCACGUGAAACGCUGUUUCAAGCUAUUAAGAUCCAGUAACAGAAAGGACAAAUCACGGUUUUCAUACCUUCUUACCACAAGACACAAAGUUCUGAUGGUAGGGUAUCGAGUACUCUAUUUAACAGUAAUGUAACAGUAAUAAAGCACGUGGAUUUCUUGCAGCACGCCAGUUGUGUCUUUUCUGUUACCUGUCACCUAGAUCACAAGGCUGAAGAGAACCGCUGCUGAAUCUUAACUAACAGACAGAUGCAAAUCUGGUGCCUCACCGCUGAGCAGACAUUACCAUCUGCGUGACCGAGCGCUCUGUAAUUCUCAGCAUUUCACUGGCUUUGCUGCAAAAUUCAAUAAAAACAAACCAACCCUGUAACCCUUGUUUUUAUGCUGGGAGCCUUCCAGUAGAGAAGAGCAUAAUCAGUAUAUCCUCUGUGGGCAACUAACCUGAAGGCGGUUCUGAAGGAAAAACCCCUUUUAACAUAAUUGGGGGUGUUAACUGAAGAUAAAAUAUGGCUGCUCAGGGGGCACUCUAGUUAAUUACUUCAUUGCCAAACUAACAGGGACAUUUUCCAGAAUACGUCCUCUCGGGCCAUUUGUCUGGAAUACCUUUGCCUUGCAGUGGCAGAAAGAUUUUAGAACAAAUUUCUACAAUGCACUGAAAAUAAUAAUAAAAAAACAAUUGAAGAAUAGUUUCACUGACAACAGUUACUUCAUAUUUGGUUAAAUCCCUCAAAAUUCUGAAGUAAUCCGGGUCUGCAGCAGAAAUGCAUUUUGCCACAUCCAUCUCACCGGACUUAUUACAACUCUUCUGUUAAGAGGACAAAACAGUGCGAGCUCAUCUGCCGCACCUUCUGUUUCGUUGCACCGCUACUGAAAACCACUUAAUUGGGGCAGUACCUGCGGCCAGCCAUGGAGUGGAAAGUGAGAGGAAAAAGCCGCUGCUGGGCCCAGGGGGAGGCUGAGGGCUGGGAGCCCAGCAGCCGCCAGUGCCGUCCCGGGGGCCUCGGCGAGGAUUUCCAAAUGAAGGUGACAUCAGCCACAGCCAAUCCUGGGGCCCCAGCGGUACAGCUGGAUGGGAGCCACAGUCCACUUAGUGCUAUAAACAUGGCUAGCUGAAAGAAGACCUUAGAAAACAACUCAAGGAAGCUAUGAAGACUGUUGGGAAAGCAAAGAAGCCAGCUGGACCGAUUACGAGAUGAGGCCACAGAGAGUUACCUAACAGUGUCAUACUGAAGAUUAUGAAGCCAGGAGCAGAAUUGAGAGGAAACUCUAGAUCUCUUUAACUCCAUCCCAGCAGAAGA